GCCUCGUUAGUAUAGUGGUUAGUACGCGGGAUUCAUAUAGUACUAAAUAGACCCCGAGAGGGCAGUUCGAUCCUGCCACGAGGCA